UCAUGUAAGAUUUUAAAAGUCGAACAGACUUAAUUUUUAAAUUUCUUCAUUUAAAAUUUAUCUUAAUUCAACAUCGAGGUCGCAAACAUCUUUAUUAAUAUGAUCUUUAAAAAGAUAUUACGCUGUUAUCCCUAAGGUAAUUUAUUCUUUUAAUUUAUAAUAUAAGAUCAAAAUUUUAUUCUUAAAUCAAAGUUUAUUUUUAAAAUAAAGUUAAUUUUAUUUACUAAUCCUCCCAACUAAAUAUUAAAAUUUUAACUAAAUAAUUAAUAAAAUUUUAAUAUAAAAUUCUAUAGGGUCUUAUCGUCCCAUAAAAUUAUUUAAGCAUUUUUACUAAAAAUUUAAAUUCAUUUUAUAUAUAUGAGACAGUAUAUAUCUC
rnacentral:rRNA from 1 species